rnacentral:rRNA from 1 species
AUACGGAGGGGACAAGCGUUAUUCGGAAUCACUGGGCGUAAAGGACGCGUAGGCGGGUUAUUAAGUCGGGUGUGAAAUCCAAUGGCUCAACCAUCGAACUGCAUUCGAAACUGAUAACCUAGAGUAUGGAAGGGGCAGGUGGAAUUAGUGGUGUAGGGGUAAAAUCCGUAGAUAUCACUAGGAAUACCGAAAGCGAAGGCGACCUGCUGGGACAUUACUGACGCUGAGGCGUGAAAGCGUGGGGAGCAAACAGGAUUAGAUACCCCAGUAGUCC